rnacentral:rRNA from 1 species
GACGUAGGAGGCGAGCGUUGUCCGGAUUCAUUGGGCGUAAAGAGCACGCAGGCGGUUUGGCAAGUCGGAUGUGAAAGCCCGGAGCUCAACUCCGGACCUGCAUCCGAAACUGCCCGACUAGAGGUAGGUGGGGGAGAUCGGAAUUCCUGGUGUAGCGGUGAAAUGCGCAGAUAUCAGGAGGAACACCGGUGGCGAAGGCGGAUCUCUGGGCCUUACCUGACGCUCAGGUGCGAAAGCUAGGGGAGCGAACAGG